rnacentral:rRNA from 1 species
GAUGAACGCUAGCGGCAGGCUUAAUACAUGCAAGUCGAGGGGCAGCGGGGGUAGCAAUACCUGCCGGCGACCGGCAAACGGGUGCGGAACACGUACACAACCUUCCUAUAAGUGGGGGAUAGCCCAGAGAAAUUUGGAUUAAUACCCCGUAAUAUUAUUUAGUGGCAUCAUUAGAUAAUUAAAGCUCCGGCGCUUAUUGAUGGGUGUGCGUCUGAUUAGGUAGUUGGUGAGGGUAACGGCCCACCAAGCCUUCGAUCAGUAACUGGUGUGAGAGCACGACCAGUCACACGGGCACUGAGACACGGGCCCGACUCCUACGGGAGGCAGCAGUAAGGAAUAUUGGUCAAUGGACGCAAGUCUGAACCAGCCAUGCCGCGUGGAGGAUGAAGGUCCUCUGGAUUGUAAACUUCUUUUAUCUGGGAAGAAAUGCUAUUUUUCUUAAAGUGUUUGACGGUACCAGAUG